ACUCCAGCGCCCGUCGUUGGUACGCCGCAUCCGCACGGUGCGGCGUUUAAAGGGAACCCGGUGUGAAUCCGGGACUGCCCCGCAGCGGUGAUCAGGAACGAACGCCGUCCUCGCAAGCACUGGCUCUUGAAUGGGCUGGGAAGCGACGGCCAGUAGGUGGGUGACCCGAUGGGGGCCUCCCGCGCCUGUGAGUCCGAAGACCUGCCACGACCCAUGCCUCCGGG
rnacentral:ncRNA from 18 species